CCCAACCCCAGACUGCAAGUAGCCACUCAUUCAUUCCACAAAUACUCUCUGAGGGCCUGUUCUAUGCAGGCUAUGUGCCAAGGGUUUACACCCUAGGAGCAGUGCCACCCCAGUAUCUGUCCCCCGUGACCAGUGACUGCCCCUCCUCUAUAAUAUCUAUUGACUGACCUCUCUGACCUCACCUCAUUUCUUUCCUCCAGUGCCCCGGCUCCAGCAGUCCAUGGAUCCUGCCCCCUUUGCAUGUCCCUCAGCCUGCCUGCCCUCCGUGUCCUUCCUGCCCAGCCUACAAUUCAUGGUCAGGCCCCACCCCCACCCCCUCCUGCGGUCCUGACAAAACCCCAACACUGGUCAGUCCCACUGCUCCACCUCCACCGCAUCUCACCUGCACUUGCGCAGCUCAAUGUCACACCACCUUGCCAGCUGCUUCCCUUUCAACUCAUGACACAAAACCCAAGAGGGCCCUUAGUGGAUGUCAGGAUCAGUCACUGUCCCCAUGACCCUUGCACCCCUCUUUUCUCCUCUCUAUAAAAUAAGGGUGAUAAUAUUUCUGUCUCCCGGGGCUGUUGGCAGCAUCAGUAGUAGGUCCUUGCUCGGGGGCAGCUACUGGGGUUAGUUCCUCUGGUGCUCAGUCCAAGAGUUCCCUGGUGUCUUGGUGUCCGCGGAGUCCCACCCUGCGGUCAUUUAUUUUGUUCCGCUGGUUGGGCAGGCCUGGGCUCUCUGCCAGAUCUGAUCAUCCUCCCAGAGACAGGAGGGAACGGAAUGUGGCACCAGGCAGUAAGACGCAUGGCUGAGCUCAGCAGGAGAGGGAAGCUUCCAACUUCCUGCAGCGAAUGUCCUAGGUGAUAGGUCAAGUCUGACCCCGCCAGUGAGGCCAACAUGGAAACUUACUAGGGCCUCGAAAAGGUGUGUGUGGGAGUUCAGAGAGGAGUGGAGACAGCCGGCCUCCCAAUCUGGACCCACAGGGCAGGGCAGGGAGAGGAGAUGGCCCCGCCUCCAGGAAUCCAGGCUGCACCUCCCUCCAGGGAACUCAGAUCAAAGCCAGGAGGAAGGAGGAGUGUGAACUUUGCACCCAGUGACUCACUGCAUCCCCCUAGGGCAAGUGCUCUCACCCGUGCAGAAUCCUGCCCUCCUUGCCACUGACGGGACCAUCCGCACUGGGUCAGCCUAUGAGCAACACUGACCUGAUUCACCUGCACGCCUUCAUUCCCCCACCUUCAUCCUCCUCCUCGCAGAGGUGAUCAGAUGUUUGCAGGUGCCUGCCUGUGUUUACAAAAUCCAUCCCAGGAAACCACAUGACAUUUGGUCAUCUGCCAUUGCAUUCCUUUACGUGUAUGAUCAAGGCCCUUCCGGUAACCCGUUGCCUUGGCAAUGUUAUCACCAACCUUUUUUGGAGACAGACCCAGGGGGCCGAUCUUGGGGGCCAGCGCAGAAGCAGCGACUUCACCUCCAGUGCACCUCAGCCUCACUGCCACCCUGCGUGGUGCGUGGGCCGGAAUGACCCUUCCCCUCUUGCAGUUUGGAGAAGUUGAGGACCCGUGUGAACCCUGAAAUCAUUCAUGCCCGGGCUCCCCGUUCGCCAGCCCAUGCUGCCCUCUAGUGGUUGUGUGCGCACCUGCCUUUAGGGAGUCCAGGACAGCCGGGACAACCAGCUCAUCUGCAGACAGCAGUGGCCAGCCUUCCCAGGCUGCGCAGGGGACCCUAGGCAGGGACCGUCCCCCUCAGGACCCUUCCAGCACUGCAUGCCUUCACCAGCUCCUCUUCCUGUCUCGCAGCAUCUGGUUUAGAUGCAUAGAUAGAUGUAUUAUAUACGUAUAUUUUAAUUGUGCUAAAAUACAUGUAAAAUUUACCAUCGCAACUAACUGUACGGUUUCAUGGCAUUAAGUACCUUCACACUGUUGGGCAACCAUCACCACCAUACAUCUCCAGAACUAUUUUUUUUUUUAAGACAAAGUCUUACUGUGUCACCCAGGCUGGAAGCGCAGUGGUGCAAUCUUGGCUCACGACAACCUCUGCCUCCUGUGUUCAAGUGAUUCUCCCACGUCAGCCUCCCAAGUAGCUGGAACUACAGGUGCCCGCCACUCCACCUGGCUAAUAUUUUAUUUUAUUUUAUUUUUGAGACAGACUCUCUCUCUGUCGCCCAGGCUGGAGUGCAGUGGCGCGAUCUCGGCUCACUGCAAGCUCCGCCUCCUGGGUUCAGACCAUUCUCCUGCGUCAGCCUCCCGAGUAGCUGGGACUACAGGCGCCUGCCACCACACCCGGCUAAUUUUUUGUAUUUUUAGUGGAGACAGGGUUUCACCCUAUUAGCCAGGAUGGUCUCAAUCUCCUGACCUCGUGAUCCGCCCGCCUCGGCUUCCCAAAGAGCUGGGAUUACAGGCGUGAGCCACCGCGCCCGGCCCCUACCUGGCUAAUUUUUGUAUUUUUAGAGAGACAAGGUUUCACCAUGUUGGCCAGGCUGGUCUCGAACUCUGGCCAGCUUUUUUUUUUUUUUUUUUUUGACAGGGUCUCACUCUGUCACCCAGGCUGGAGUGCGACUUCGACCUCCCAGGCUCAGAUGACCCUCUUACCUUAACCCCUAGAGUAGCUGGAACUACAAGCGCAUGCCACCAUGCCUGGCUAAUUUUUUGUAGAGACAGGGUUUUGCCAUGUUGCCCAGGCUGGUCUUGAAUUCCUGGGCCCCAGCGAUUCGCCUGCCUUGACCUCCCAAAGUGCUGGGGUUACAGGCGUGAGCCACUGCGCCCAGCCUCCAGAACGCUAUUCUCCUUCCCAAACUGAAACUCUGCCCCCAUUAAACACUAAGCUCCUCAUUCCUAUUUCCCCCCAGUUCCUGGAAACCUCUGUUCUACAUUGUCUUUAUGAAUCUGACUAGAUACUCAUAUAAGUGGAAUCAUACAGUGUCUGUCCUUUUGUGUCUGCCUAUUUCACUGAGCACAAUGUUGUCAAGGUGUAUUCACAUUGUGGCAUGUGUCAGAAUGCCAUCCUUUUUUUUUGUUUGUUUUUUUGAGAUGGAGUCUCACUUUGUUGCCCAGGCUGGAGUGCAGUGGCACGAUCUCAGCUCAUCACAACCUCUGCCUCCUGGGUUCAAAUGAUUCUUCUUCCUCAGCCUCCCCAGUAGUUGGGACUACAGGUGUGUGCCACUAUGCCUGGCUAAUUUUUGUAUUUUUAGUAGAGACGGGGUUUUACCAUGUUGGCCAGGCUGAUCUUGAACUCCUGAUCUCGUGAUCCGCCUGCCUCAGCCUCCCAAAGUGCUGGGAUUACAGGUGUGAGCCACCACGUGUGGCCUUUUUUUUUUUUUUUUUAGACGGAGAUCUCGCUCUGUCACCCAGGCUGGAGUGUAAUGGCACGAUCUCGGCUCACUGCAACCUCCGCCUCCUGGGUUCAAGCGAUUCUCCUGCCACAGCCUCCUGAGUAGCUGGGAUUACAGGCGUGCACUACCACAGCUGGCUAAUGGCUAAUUUUUGUAUUUUUAGUACAGAUGGGAUUUCACCAUUUUGGCCAGGCUGGUCUCGAACUCCUGACCUCAAGUGAUCCACCUGCCUCAGCCUCCCAAAGUGCUGGGAUUACAGAUGUGAGCCACCGCACCCAGGCUGCCAUCCUUUUUAAGGUUGAAGAAUCUUCCAUUGUCUGGAGAGACCACAUCUUGUCAUCCGUUCUUCUGUUCAUGGACACUUGGUUCCUUCCCCCUUUUGGCUAUUGCUGGAGUGCAAUGCCGUGAUCUCGGCUAACCACAACCUCCGCCUCCCAGGUUCAAGCGAUUCUCCUGCCUCAGCCUCCCGAGUAGCUGGGAUUACAGGCAUGCGCCACCACACCUGGCUAAUUUUGUAUUUUUUGUAGAGACAGGGUUUCUCCACAUUGGUCAGGCUGGUCUCAAACUCCCAACCUCAGAUGAUCCGCCCUCCUUGGCCUUCCAAAGUGCUGGGUAUAUAGGCAUGAGCCACCACGUCUGGCCUAAGAAGGUUAAAGUCAAAAGCAACACCACUCAGCAGCUGUCCUGAACACGCAUCUCAGGGCCACCCACACAAAUGAGAAUGUCUCCUGCAGCUGCUGCUGCGUCGCCCCCAAUCACAGCUGUAGAUAUAAAGGGAUCGAGUCACUGAACCAUACAAUCACCCCGCUUUCUGACAGCACACAUCCAGAGCAAACCCACACUUCCUUAAAUCUUUCUCCAAAUCCGAUACCAGCACUAACACUGCUUUUGGAGAUGCCCUGGCUUCCCCGUGCUGUGUGGCCUCCCUUGCCACAGCAAGCAUAAUAAACCCAAAUUUGUUGACUGCAGGCGUGUUCCUGGUGGUCUGAUUGACAGGCAUCAACGUGACCAUGGAGGGAGUGACGGCUAGAGAAUUUCAGGGUUCACAAGAUGAAGCCAGUGACUCAUGAACUAAGCUGAAAUCUCUCAGCCUAAUACUUCCCUUUCUCUCACAGCAACUCUCCAUGAUAGAUUAGAACUGUUCCAACUUGGCUGGGCAUGGUGACUCACGCCUGUAAUCCCAGCUAUUUGGGAGGCCAAGGUGGGAGGAUUGCUUGAGCCCAGGAGUUUGAGACCAGCCUGAGCAACAUAGUGGGACUCCAUCUCUAUUUAUUUAUUUAUUUAUUUUGAGAUGGAGUUUUGCUCUUGUUGCCCAGGCUAGAGUGCAAUGGCGCGAUCUCAGCUCACUGCAACCUCCACCUCCCAAGUACAAGGGAUUCUCCUGUCCCAGCCUAUCAAGUAGCUCAUAUUACAGGCAUGUGCCACCAGGCCCGGCUAACUUUUUUGUAUUUAGUAGAGAUGGGGUUUCAUCAUGUUAGUCAGGCUGGUCACGAACUCCUGACCUCAGGCUAUCUACCCGCCUUGGCCUCCCAAAGUGCUGGGAUUACAGGCAUGUGCCACCGUGCCUGGCCUCUUUUUUUUUUUUUUUUGAGACGGAGUCUCGCUCUGUCACCAGGCUGGAAUGCUAUGGCGCAAUCUCGGCUCACUGCAACCUCCGCCUCUCAGGUUUAAGCAAUUCUCUUGCCUCAGCCUCCUGAGUACCUGGGAUUACAGGUGCGCACCAACACACCCAGCUAAUUUUUUUGUAUUUUUAAUAGAGUCGGGGUUUCACCAUGUUGGCCAGGAUGGUCUUGAUCUCUUGACCUCGUGAUCUGCCUGCCUUGGCCUCCCAAAGUGUUAAAAUUACAGGCAUGAGCCACCAC
rnacentral:lncRNA from 10 species